UACGUAGGGUGCAAGCGUUGUCCGGAAUUAUUGGGCGUAAAGAGCUCGUAGGCGGUUUGUCGCGUCGAAUGUGAAAACCCGGGGCUCAACUCCGGGCCUGCAUUCGAUACGGGCAGACUAGAGUUCGGUAGGGGGAGACUGGAAUUCCUGGUGUAGCGGUGAAAUGCGCAGAUAUCAGGAGGAACACCGGUGGCGAAGGCGGGUCUCUGGGCCGAUACUGACGCUGAGGAGCGAAAGCGUGGGGAGCGAACAGG
rnacentral:rRNA from 1 species